GCCGCCCAUCCAGUAUGGUAAAUAAGAUCCUCGGCUUGUAACCGAGUGGAUUCGGGUUCGAAUCCCGAGCAAGGCU